rnacentral:rRNA from 1 species
AUGAAUUGGACUCCGCCUAUGUCGACAAUGAUGUUGAAAGGUAUUUCAGAGGUGGCGGAAAGAGGUGCCAAGACUGACAAAGGAUUCAAAGAGGCUACAAAACUGAAAGCAAAGUCUAUAUCUGCUUUCGUUGGUUAUGACGUGUCUAUUACUCAAGUGCACAAUCAUAUUCGCAAGUGGCGGAAUAGGUGGACAAGGAUUGUUUAUUUGAAGAGUUUAAGUGGGGCACUUUGGGAUGAUGACAAGAAAAUGGUAGUUCUAGAAGGACAACACUAUUUGGGCCACAAAAUUUUGUCUUUGUUAAUUACUUACGUUCAAACAAUGGUGUUGUAGGAUCAUCCAAUAGAUGCUGAACUUCUCAAUCCCCCACUUGAGAACUACAACUAUAUGGAAAAUUGCUUUGCUAAUAAGCAAGCCAGCAGGAAUUAUGCAAUGGCCACCGGUGUGCCACUGGGAACGCCUAUUGUUGUGGAAGACAAAUAUAAACCCAAUGUCAUGGAGGGGCAUGGAACAACUGAUGAGGUAUUACAACAUCUUCCUGGGUCUAGCUCCGUACUUCCAACUACUAGUGCCACUCAGGACCCUUCACCUACUUCAAAUAAGAAGAGAAAGAGGGCAUCAGGUUUGACUGAGGAGGACACAAUCCAGUGCAGCAACAUGACUGAUGCUAUGCGUGAGAUUGCAAGUGCUAUCAACAACACUUGCCAUGCUGAAACACACCCUGACUUGUACAAGGCUAUCAUAGACCUUAUUGUGUUUGAUCAAAAUGAUCACUUGGCUGUUCUAGAUUAUCUCACAGAACAUAAGGCAAAAGGCCUCAACUUUGUGAAGAUGAAUGAUGAAGUCCGUAAAGCAUCGUUCAAACGUAUCUUGAAAGCCAAUCCUGAUCUUCUUCGAGUUCGUGUUAGUCGGUGCUUGUCGAGACUACCCCUUUUGUAG